AGAUUGAACGCUGGCGGCAGGCCUAACACAUGCAAGUCGAGCGGUAGAGAGGUGCUUGCACCUCUUGAGAGCGGCGGACGGGUGAGUAAAGCCUAGGAAUCUGCCUGGUAGUGGGGGAUAACGCUCGGAAACGGACGCUAAUACCGCAUACGUCCUACGGGAGAAAGCAGGGGACCUUCGGGCCUUGCGCUAUCAGAUGAGCCUAGGUCGGAUUAGCUAGUUGGUGAGGUAAUGGCUCACCAAGGCGACGAUCCGUAACUGGUCUGAGAGGAUGAUCAGUCACACUGGAACUGAGACACGGUCCAGACUCCGUACGGGAGCAGCAGGUGGGAAUAGUAGGACGAAGUGGGCGAAAGCCUGACU
rnacentral:rRNA from 1 species